GAUGAACGCUAGCGGCAGGCUUAACACAUGCAAGUCGAGGGGUAGGAGCAGCUUGCUGCUUUGAGACCGGCGCACGGGUGCGUAACGCGUAUACAAUCUACCUUUUACAGAGGGAUAGCCCAGAGAAAUUUGGAUUAAUACCUCAUAGUAUUUUCGAAUGGCAUCAUUUGAUUAUUAAAGUUCCAACGGUAAAAGAUGAGUAUGCGUCCCAUUAGCUAGAUGGUAAGGUAACGGCUUACCAUGGCAACGAUGGGUAGGGGUCCUGAGAGGGAGAUCCCCCACACUGGUACUGAGACACGGACCAGACUCCUACGGGAGGCAGCAGUGAGGAAUAUUGGACAAUGGGCGCAAGCCUGAUCCAGCCAUGCCGCGUGCAGGAAGACGGUCCUAUGGAUUGUAAACUGCUUUUAUACAGGAAGAAACACCUCUACGUGUAGAGACUUGACGGUACUGUAUGAAUAAGCAUCGGCUAACUCCGUGCCAG
rnacentral:rRNA from 1 species